rnacentral:lncRNA from 1 species
AGAAAGCUUAUGAGCAAAGUAGGGUUCGGCACUUUUGGUUGUUGAUUAAGAUCAAGAUAAACAAAUACCGGAACUUGAUCGGGGGAAACAAAAGUUAGACGGGUAGACGAAAGUAUUCGAGCAAAUACGAGGUAAGUUCGUGUAGCUAGAAUUGAAUUAUUAAAUAUUUGUAAUUGUCAAAAAAAAUGUAUGUAAGUUGAAUGAAUGAUCCACUUGAAUUUUAAAUUACCGAUAUGCUAUUAUAUUACUGUUUACAUGAAUGCAAAUGAAAUGUUACAAAUACUAUAUACAUUAUAUAGAUUUGGUAUAAUAAUAGGCAUUGAAUAUUAAAUUUUGAGUAUUUAAAUGUAUGUUUUUAAUUAUAUUAAAUAUAUAAAUACUCAUAUGAAUUGAGGAAUUGAGCUAUUGAUUUUUCAUUUCUUAAUUGAUGAAAUUGGAUAAUACUGAGCCCGUUUGAACUUUAGAAAAUCGUCGGAUAUGAGUGGCUUGUCACUAGGGUUACCGUUUGGUCGAGCUCCUGCAUUUGUUGCGGACUCACCACAGCUUGUAUGAGCUUACCGUUUCAGCUCUACAGAGCUUACUGUUUCAGCUCGAUAGAGCUUACCGUUUAUCAACUCGGAAUGAGCUUACCGAUCAUGGCUCGAAAGAGCGAAAAUGACAAUGAAUUGACGAAUUUCUGAUAAAUACACUUAUAGUGUAUCACCCGUGUAUCCCUCGAUGUUCUAAUAGGUUCAACGGGCAUAAUUACUGUUACUGAUCAUAUGAAAAAGUUAUAUAAUUAUUUGGAUGAAUUACAGGUUACACGAUUAGGAUGGAAUUGAUAUAAAUGCUAUAUGAUUUACAUGAAUUAUUUGUUUUAUGAAUAUAUGAAUUAUAUGGACGACAUGAUAUAUUUAGCUAUAUGACUAACUCGUGGAUGGUGAUGUUAAUAGACUAUGUGGACAAAUGAGUUGAAUUUAAUUGUUUAAAAUGCUUAAAUGUUAAAUUGGCAAGUUUAAUACUAUAUUAUGUGGCUUACUAAGCUUAAUGCUUACUUCAUUUAUUUUCUUAUGUUUUAUAGACUUCGGAAGCUAGCUCGAUGUUGGACUAGGUUGGAGAUUUGCUAUCACACUAUCCAAGAAAUUUUCGGUACUUUUGGACCUUUUGUAAUUAAUGUAAAUAUGGC